GAUGAACGCUGGCGGCGUGCCUAAUACAUGCAAGUCGAGCGAACGGACGAGAAGCUUGCUUCUCUGAUGUUAGCGGCGGACGGGUGAGUAACACGUGGAUAACCUACCUAUAAGACUGGGAUAACUUCGGGAAACCGUAGCUAAUACCGGAUAAUAUUUUGAACCGCAUGGUUCAAAAGUGAAAGACGGUCUUGCUGUCACUUAUAGAUGGAUCCGCGCUGCAUUAGCUAGUUGGUAAGGUAACGGCUUACCAAGGCAACGAUGCAUAGCCGACCUGAGAGGGUGAUCGGCCACACUGGAACUGAGACACGGUCCAGACUCCUACGGGAGGCAGCAGUAGGGAAUCUUCCGCAAUGUGCGAAAGCCUGACGUAGCAACGCCGCGUGAGUGAUGAAGGUCUUCGGAUCGUAAAACUCUGUUAUUAGGGAAGAACAUAUGUGUAAGUAACUGUGCACAUCUUGACGGUACCUAAUCAGAAAGCCACGGCUAACUACGUG
rnacentral:rRNA from 1 species